rnacentral:tRNA from 1 species
GUCCCGUUCGUUCAGCGGCCCAGGAUCCCUGAUUUUCGCUCAGGAGACGGGGGUUCGACUCCCCCACGGGACG